rnacentral:lncRNA from 1 species
AAAAAAAAUUUUUUUUUGUAGAGACCAAGUCUCAUUACGUUGCCAAGGCAAUAUAUACCCAGGUCUUGAAUUCUUGUUCUCAAGUGGUCUUCCUGCCUUGCACCCCCAAAGUAUUAGGGUAACAUGUGUGAGUCACUGGAACCCCAAGAAAAUGUUUUAAGAGGCCAUUUUGAUGUAAAGGAUGGAUGCGAGGCUCCAGAGCAAGACCUGGAAGGAGGCUGUUGGAGUGACCUAGGAACUUUGCCUCAUCCUAGUCCUGGCUCUGCUUCAAGGGGGAGGUAAAUUAUAAUUCUUGUUUCAUGAUACCCUCAUCAUUGAAGAAGGCCAAGACAUCCUCAAGGUCCUCAACAUUGGAGCCCAGGAAUGGGAAUAUUGAAGCUGAAGCACCUCUAUUCAGCUGCCAUGUUGUGAGCUGUCCUAUGGAGAAGCCCAUGUAGCAGAUAUCUGAUGUCUUCAGCCAGUUGCCCGCAAGGAUCUGAGGCCUGCCAAUAGCCAUGGGAGUGAGCUUGAAGUGGAUUCUUCUCCAGUUGAGCCUUUGGAUUAUUGCAUUAUUGGCAGACACCUUGAUUGCAGCCUUAAAAGAGACCUUAAACCAAGAUCACUCAACCUAAACUAUGUCUAGAAUCCUGACUCACAGACACUGGGAGACAAGACUUCUUACUAAGAAGGAGGCAAAGCCAUAAACCCAAAGGGUUCCGAGAAGAGUCUACCUGGGUUCCAGUACCCAUAACCUGGAAGACAAGCCCAUUAACCUUUCAGAGGCUCAACUUCCUCAUCUGAUAAGGUAGGGUGUGGACCAUGUGGUGGAUGAACAUAUUUUGUUUUCAACCUGCUUAGCAUUUGUUCCAUUGGGUUGAUUGGUUAUCUCCCAUGGACCUCCUCUCCCUAGCAACAACGAAUAAAAUGUUGACAACAUGGCAUACAAAAGGCUAAUGUGGAUAGUUCCCUAGAACUCAUUUGUGAAGGUUGGUAGGAAGAAGCUGUCUUUCCACCUUGGUUGUAAGAUGGGGGAAUGAAUAUCAACAUUUUCUGCAUUUAUUUUCGCUAUCAUAUACUGAAGGUUUAUAUGCAGCAGGAAAGAUUAAAGCCAUGAAGAGAUGAGAGAAUUUCAGAGAGCCACAGUCUUGGUAACAUUAAGCCCUAAAUCCAAUCCUUUAGUCCCUGGUUCCAAAAGUUCUGCCUUGAAUACUGUGAGGAACCCAGAAUCCUCUGCAGGUACAGAAUCAAUCAACUCAUAUUUUUGGUUGAAAUUAAUGCAUUUGAUCUUCUUUCUUGUAAGUAAAUGUUCUUCACUAAUAUAGAACAUACUGGACUGGGCCCAGACCAACCCCACCUCUUUAUUCCCUACUAUGUACACUCCUGAAAUCUCCCUGAGUUAGGUUCCUCAUCUGUACAGUGAGUACAAGCAUCCAGCAAUUCAAAUGUUGCUGUGUAGAUAAUAUAGAUGAAAUGUUUGGAAUAUAGUAGAUGCCCAAUAAAUGUUAGCAUUAUUGUAUUACCAAUUUAAUAAUUUCUCAGGCUGGAUAUUGCCCAAAUUUCACAGGGCACCACAAGUAGCAAAACACUAAGAAAAAGGCUUUGGAUGCAGGGAAACAUAGAUUUGUACUUGCAGUUCAACACACUACAACACACUGUGGGAUGUGCGACUUUUAUCAUUCUUGUAGCCCUUAGGACAUUGUUGAUUUAAGCAAAUUGGCUUAGCAAGGAGAUGUUUUCUUUCACAUUAUUAGAGGUCCAGAGGUGAGAUUGGAACAAGGAGCAGUAUGGUUGUGCAGAUUGUCAAUCCACACUUGUUACAUAUCUGCAUUCAUCUAGACUUUUUCUCAACCUUAUUCCCCUCAUGGUCAUAAGAUGCCUGCUUAAAGCACCUGGAGCAACACAGUUGCUUGUUUCCAGCCAACAAAGGGAAGAAUUACUUUAGAUUACCAGAUUUUUCUGCAAGCCUGUCUUUUUCUCUGAUAGACCCAAACUGGCCAAGUUCAGCCCAUAUUUGAGUAAACCUCUAGCAGGGAACAUGGAAUUAUCCUAGUUGGCUUAGGUUAGUCAUGGGGGUGGAUUAAAUAUUGAGAAAUCAACCAAAAUAGCUCUUAUCACUCAUCACUCAACCUUUUCAAGUCUUUUUUUCUUCCUGUAAAAUACCUAACUCACAGCUUGCUGAGAGAAUUAAAAAGAUCAAAUGUAUGUUGUACCUUCAAUAAUAUUUGGCACAUAGCAAUUAUUGAAUGAAUAGAAGACAUAACUGCUGAGAUGAUAUUAUACACCAGGGGGUAUGGGGUAUAGGAGACAU